rnacentral:lncRNA from 1 species
GUGGCACUAAGGUAAUCGGCUUGGUUGAAGUUGUUUUUCCUCUGCUAGUGUGGUUUCGGUCGAUUUCACGUCUUUGUUUCUCUACUUCUAGGUGCCGAUUUUUGUUAGUUUUGGGGUACCUCUCGGGUUGUUUUUACCUAUUUUUUUUUUGGCCGAACACACUCUCCUCCCUUAUCUUUUCUUUUUUUCUUUCUUUUCGGUUUCUUUUUCUCUUGUUGCUGAUUUUUCCCCUUCUUUUUUCCCUCUUCUUUACUUUGUGUCCGAAUCUUUUUCCUCUUCUCUUUUUUCUCUAUUGACUGAAUAACCUUCUUUUACUGUUUGUGAUUUCAACAUUCUUUUAUUCUUUAUGACCGAGACAUAUCCUUUUUGUUUGAGUAUGGUGUAGCUGAACAUUAUCAUUCGUAGUAUCGUUAUCUACAUUGAUCUUUCUCCACUGCUUCUUGCGGUUACUGUGUUGUAGGGUUCUG